GAUGAACGCUGGCGGCGGGCCUAAUACAUGCAAGUCGAGCGAAGCGGGGACGGGUGGGUAACACGUGGAUAGCCACCUAUCAGACUGGGAGAAUUUCGGGAGACAGGAGCUAAACUGGAGACUAAUAGAUGGGUCCGCGCUGCAUUAGCUAGUUGGUAAGGUAACGGCUUACCAAGGCAACGAUGCAUGGCCGACCUGAUAGGGUGAUCGGCCACACUGGAACUGAGACACGGUCCAGACUCCUACGGGAGGCAGCAGUAGGGAAUCUUCCGCAAUGGGCGAAAGCCUGACGGAGCAACGCCGCGUGAGUGAAGAAGGUCUUCGGAUUGUAAAACUCUGUUAUUAGGGAAGCGGUACCUAAUCAGAAAGCCACGGCUAACUACGUGCCAGCAGCCGCGGUAAUAC
rnacentral:rRNA from 1 species